CAUGACAGGAAAAGUUUGUAGCGGCCGGGCGCGAAUCUUUUGCGCGCCCAGCCGCCUGUUGGAGAGUCCACGAAAAAUGGCGGAGGCUACAGCGGUGUGCGCCACAACGGCGCGCGUUUCUGCUUCGGAGGAGGAGGAGGUGGAGGAGGAGGAACACCCGUGGUCUUACAAACGAAGCAUGUUUAGCCUACACGCGUCGCAAGAGAACAGCGACGCUAUGCGGUGUCUUCUCUGUCUGCCGAAGCAAACCAACAUGGCUGCGUUCAAGAACUCACGUCCAACUUAAGGAAACACGGAGCGGUAAGUUUUACCUACGUUAGUUUUGGCUGUGGAGUCAGGCAGGUUAGCCUUGUUAUCUCUGCAGGAUCCUAGUCCUGAAAAUAAUUCUUUAUUUGAUUGUCAAUAUUUUAGAAUAAUCUGACAAACUGUAUGAACAACUGCACUUCAGGUACCUGUGGGGCCUUAUAAGUAUGAAGGGAGAGUGGGUAAGAUGAGACAGUUUUUGCUUUUGUUGUCACUGAGGAAAGGAAAAAUGCAACAGAGGUAAAAUGAAAAUCUGAUUGAAUUCAUGCAUACAAGACAAGUCAGUCAGAUAUUGCAGUUACUCCCUGCUUGAGUAGUUUUAUCACCAAGUACUUUUUUACUCUUACUCAAGUAAUUUUGUAGAUGACUAUUUUUACUUCUAUUUGAGUCAUACUUUUUUUAAAGUAACAUUAUUCUUAAUUGAGUACAAAUUUUGGUCUCUUCAGACUGUAAUUUGUUGAAGAGUUGUGAACAAAGCACUACAUUAUGUUGAAAAUUUAACAUUUAAGCUGAAUUGACCUGAUAACAGUUAAUUACAGAAGUGUGGCAUCUCCACUUAGAAACCAACAACUUUGUUUUCCCUUAAAUUAAAUCUUUGAUUUUUUUUUUCCUGAAAUUAAAUUUCCACAUCUUUUUCUCUCAUAAUUGAAUUUAAUCUUUGUUGUAAAAAUUUUGACUUUACUCACAACCUUCAGACUUUUUUCUCAGGGUCCAUUUUCAACUAAAAUCUUCAUCCUCUCAUGAUUUUCCUCACCUUUGCCCUAAAAAGUCUUCCAUAUUUUUCCAUCUCGUGUUUGAUUGACAUUUUAAAUUUCUGACCUUCUUUUUAGAAAAUAGAAAAAUUUUGAUUGUAGUUGAUCACUUCAAUCUGUCGUGCACAGAUGGCAAUAAAAGAAGAAAUGAUCUCAGCUGACGUCAAACUCCAUAUGAAUCCUUUUUUUGUCUUCGUGUUGAAGCGUAACUCAGGCAAAGACUGUGUCAUUUACACUGCAAAUAUUAAGGUCUUUAAAGCUAUUAGGAUUUCUCAAAAUGCACAAAUGAUACCAUGAGUAAGGUUUGGUAUUGGGGGAAGUAGUGAAAUAUUUCUUGCAUUAUUCUUCCCUUGUAUACUUGUCAGGAUGCUGAAGUCACUGUUGAAUUUGAACAUGACCUGCUAGUACAGUAUGUGGCGCCCAGGCCCCACCCAGCUCCUCACAGCCAAGAAAAGAUGCCACCCCACCCCUGCCACCCUACGCUUCUCACACACAAAAAAUAAAUGAGUGAUUGGCCACAAAGUGUCAGCCAGCCCUAAUCCCCUUUUAAUUUCCUUGUGGGGCCUGCGCCAGCGCUCUGGCUGCAGCGUGAAGCUGGCCGCUGAUGGCAGGAUGGCCGCGGUGACAGGCAGGCAGGCAGCGCAGGCCUGGGGGUGUUUACUGGGAUCCCAGCAAAGAAAAUACAAUAACCACACACUGCCACCACUGUUUGCCUUACACUUGAGUGGGAUUUAGGUUCCCCCAGCACUCUGUCACAAGUAUGUGUGUGCUCACGUGCCCACACACCCACACAGGAUUGCCAUGCAACCAGAUUGUACUAUGGACAUAUGCAUGCUCCUUUUCUCUCUGCAUCCCUCAUGAGAGUGCAUACACACACAUGAACACACACCUACAUGCAUAUAUUAAGCAUGUGCUCCAACACUCAAGCACACCCCUGGUAAUACUGCUCUAGAUGAGGCUAUUUAUAUCUUAAUUUAUACAGGUUGGUCUCAGCGUAGGGGUCGUCACCGCACAGCUGCCCAAUCUCGGGCAAUCCCACAAUGCCAAGAGUAUUAUCUCCUUUUGAACAGCAAUUUAUUUUCCUUCCUACCCACUGUUAUUCAAAAGUAAAGGUCCUGUCAUUAAAAUGUAUGCUCACUUUAUGCACAGGCACCAGGAAAGGCCAGCCGCUGAACUGCAUUCACUCCCUGUUCACGUAAUGAAAGGCGAAGAGGAAGAAGGAGGUGCGGGCUGCAGAGAUGAAGUGCGUCUUUGUAACACAUUUGCCCAAGAGGUGGGUUCAGCGUAACAAAAUGGAGAAGGUUAACGUAAUUCUGGCAGAUGAAGGAAUUUUUCAUGACAUUUACACACAGAAGGGAUUUUUCACCCUCAUAACACUCUAUUGUGCGGCAUAUGAGCAGUGGUAUAUGUAUCAAGUGUACA